CCKAGYMAAMAAGCUAGAAUUACAACAUAMGACCAGAAGACCCUGUGAAGCUUAAAUAAAACUAUUAAACCACAUAAUAACUACUUUCGGUUGGGGCGACCUUGGAAAAAAAGAGAACUUCCAAAUAAAAUGACUAUACCUCAUUAUCCAAAUUAGGCCAACAAGCCAAAAAUGACCCAGCACAGCUGAUAAUUGAACCAAGUUACUCCAGGGAUAACAGCGCAAUCUUCUUCAAGAGCCCAUAUCAAAAAGAAGGUUUACGACCUCGAUGUUGGAUCAGGACAUCCUAAUGGUGCAGCCGCUAUUAAGGGUUCGUUUGUUCAACGAUUAAUA
rnacentral:rRNA from 1 species